rnacentral:rRNA from 1 species
UACGUAGGGGGCAAGCGUUGUCCGGAAUCAUUGGGCGUAAAGAGCGUGUAGGCGGCCCGGUAAGUCCGCUGUGAAAGUCCAGGGCUCAACCCUGGGAUGGCCGGUGGAUACUGUCGGGCUCGAGUCCGGAAGAGGAGUGUGGAAUUCCGUGGUGUGAGCGGUGAAAUGCGCAGAUAUCAGGAGGAACACCAAUGGCGAAGGGCA